rnacentral:piRNA from 1 species
UCCCAGAAUUGUUUGCUGUAGC